AAUAAUAUACUAUAAUAAUAUACUAUAUAUUAGAUAUAUAUGUUUAUUAGUAAAUUUUAUUUUUUAUUA
rnacentral:tRNA from 1 species